UAGAAAGUUCAAAUUAAUUAAAAUUAGAAUUUCUAGUCAAAUUAAGCAUAAUUAGGAAAAACGGGAAAAUACCGAAAAAUUAAGAACAAUUCCAUGAUUAAUUCUAGCACAAUAAACUAAGUGAAAUCAAUAAAAUAUCGACUCAUCAAAAUAGAGCACACUUAGUUUUUUGCACUCUUGGACAAAAUCAAGACGCAAAUCAGGGAACAAUUCAACGAACAUCAGGGAAUUGACAUAGACUCA
rnacentral:lncRNA from 1 species